GGGGAUGUACCGUUUAAGAAGGGGGAACUUGAUACUCAAUAAGCGAGCAGUGAUCCUGCCUCUCACUUAAAACGGUAGAAACUUAAACUAAACGCAGAAGAUAAUUUUGCAAUGGCUGCCUAAGGGCAACCCCGUUCUCUGAGUUCUGUCUGGCGGCAAGGAUGAACGGCCAAUAGUCGGACUGGCGUGAAAUGAUUUCCGUAGUUUUGCGCAAGAUUAACGGAAUAGCAAAUUUUUGACCCGUCAUUAGGUUGGGGAAAUGCGAAACAAAUAAAUGAUGACUGCGCUCGGAGAAAUUUGUCUACCAAUAUUUUCGGACAGGGGUUCGACUCCCCUCAUCUCCACCA
rnacentral:sRNA from 1 species